rnacentral:rRNA from 1 species
ACUCCUACGGGAGGCAGCAGUGGGGAAUAUUGCACAAUGGGGGAAACCCUGAUGCAGCCAUGCCGCGUGUGUGAAGAAGGCCUUCGGGUUGUAAAGCACUUUCAGUAGGGAGGAAGGUAGUGUAGUUAACACCUGCAUUAUUUGACGUUACCUACAGAAGAAGCACCGGCUAACUCCGUGCCAGCAGCCGCGGUAAUACGGAGGGUGCGAGCGUUAAUCGGAAUUACUGGGCGUAAAGCGCAUGCAGGCGGCCUGUUAAGUCAGAUGUGAAAGCCCGGGGCUUAACCUCGGAAUUGCAUUUGAAACUGGCAGGCUAGAGUCUUGUGAGGGGGGUAGAAUUUCAGGUGUAGCGGUGAAAUGCGUAGAGAUCUGAAGGAAUACCAGUGGCGAAGGCGGCCCCCCUGGACAAAGACUGACGCUCAGAUGCGAAAGGCGUGGGGAGCAAAACAGGAUUAGAUACCCUGUAGCACAGAG